rnacentral:lncRNA from 1 species
AUUUUUCUUUUUUUUUAUUUUUAAAAACUAUGUAAUAUUUAAAAAAUAAAAAUAACAUAUUGUUUAUAUUUAAAUUGAUAUUGUGAUAACAAAAUUUAAAAUUUAUAAAAAUAAUUAUAAAAUAACAAAUUUUUAAAAUUUUUAAAAGAAUAUAUAUAAAUUAUUAUUAUUAUUUUUUAAAAAGAUAGGGUUUUGAUCCAAUUGAUCAAAAUUAUUUAGUCUAUUGG